GCUCCUAUCAUCUAGUGGUUCAAGACAUCUCUCUUUCAAGGAGGCAACGAGAAUUUGAAUUCCCUUAAGAGUA
rfam:Gossypium hirsutum cultivar TM-1 unplaced genomic scaffold scaffold2718.1, whole genome shotgun sequence